CAAAAAUUUACAUACAUAUACAUAUAUGUAUGUGUGUAUGUAUAUGUGUAUAUAUAUAUACACACACACACACACACACUAGAU
rnacentral:miRNA from 1 species